ensembl:miRNA mdo-mir-1545g-1 mdo-mir-1545g-1
AGUGUCCUGGGAUAGAUAGGCGAUCACCUUGCAAUCCCCCUUUCCAUCCCGGGCAUUGGU